rnacentral:rRNA from 1 species
AACGAACGCUGGCGGCAUGCCUAAUACAUGCAAGUCGAACAAGAUCUUCGGAUCUAGUGGCGCACGGGUGCGUAACGCGUGGGAAUCUGCCCUUGGGUUCGGAAUAACUUCGGGAAACUGAGGCUAAUACCGGAUGAUGACGUAAGUCCAAAGAUUUAUCGCCCAAGGAUGAGCCCGCGUAGGAUUAGCUAGUUGGUAAGGUAAAGGCUUACCAAGGCGACGAUCCUUAGCUGGUCUGAGAGGAUGAUCAGCCACACUGGGACUGAGACACGGCCCAGACUCCUACGGGAGGCGGCAGUAGGGAAUAUUGGACAAUGGGGGCAACCCUGAUCCAGCAAUGCCGCGUGAGUGAUGAAGGCCUUAGGGUUGUAAAGCUCUUUUACCCGGGAUGAUAAUGACAGUACCGGGAGAAUAAGCCCCGGCUAACUCCGUGCCAGCCGCCGCCGUAA